ACUGCAUAAAAGGCUGUUCAACUUUACAUGUGGUCAAGAAUAAAUGAGUCUCUGGCUUGCUACUGACUCCAGCUCCUUUCCUUGGGCUGCCAACAGAAGAGCUGAGUGAUAGAAAAAGCCAAAGGUAUUUGUACAGUUUUGCUUCUGAAGCUAAUCAGUAACAGGGCAUGCUAUGAACUGUAGAAUAUGUUUAUUUUAACAGCUAUUCAACAAUAAAAGCUCAUCUUUACAGAGACAUGAAAGCUGUGAUUGGACUGCAGUUGAUGCUGAUAGGAGUCUGUUGUGGUUUGAAAUCUUCCUGUGAUGCCAAGUAUGAUGGAGUUAAAUGCUAUGGAUCUUUGGGAGGAACAUUGAACAUUCAGAUAAUGGAUGAUGCCUCAAAAAUACCUUAUUUCAAGUGGGUAAAGAACCGCUCAGUGCUACUCCGCUGGAUGGCCAACAAGACUGUAAGCCGUACAAGAGAUAGCAGAUUUCACUUUUUUCCAAGUAGUGGGACAGUUAGGAUCACUAACCUGACAGCGGAUGACAAUGGUCUAUAUAAGCUUGAUCUGAUUAGUGAAAAUGGAAAAUAUGAAGGCUCAAAAGUUCUGCAGCUGCACGUUGAAGGUAAUCCACUGUUGAUCUUCCUACAUUUUCUGCUUCCUUUGUUUUUCCUCUCAUACAUUAAUAGAAGUUAUAAAAAUUUUGCAUUGGAUUUCAUACAUAGAAUGUGAAAUAUAGCUGUCAUGUCUGUUCUGUUCAUUUCCAACUUCCCAUCAAAUGGAAGAAAGGCCUAUAUCUUAAUUUAAUAUUUAAAUAAUAGUUCUGUGGUUUCUCUCUCAGCUCCUGUGUCUUCUGCCUGGCUAGUCUCUGAGUGUGCGUCCUUGGGUAAGCAGAGGGUGUUCUGCUUUUCUGGGGCAGGGGACAAUACUCGGUACAAAUGGACUCUGGAUGGACGACCACUGAAAGGCUUUGAGAACAUGUAUGGAAACAUUCCGGCUAGCACCAUUCUUCUGGGACCGAAGAAAACAGGUCGUCUGGUCUGCUCAAUCAGCAAUCACAUCAGUCAUUCCUUCAAAGAGAUGAAGGUGACCAGCUGUGUGACGGGUGGGAGAAAAAAAUCUGGUUAGCUCUGGAUGAAACUGUCCCACAGAAAUCGUUGUGAAGAGGAAUAUAUUGACCAUUUUUGCCCAGGUUGUUGCUUGCCUCAUGAUUGCUGGAGAUUGACACCGGCCCGACUGGCGACCCUGCAAGGAUAAUCAUGAUCAGAUAAAGGAUGGAUGGAAGAAUAAAAUAUGAAAAACCUGACAACUUCUCACUCUCCCAAAAGUGGAGGAUGCAGAGAUCCCUGCUCUGUUGAUUGAAAGGAAACAUUCUACUCGCUAAGUUUAUUCAUAUGAAAAUCAAUUUCUGAAGUGAAAUUUUAAAAUAUAAAAUCUUCUACAGAAAAAGAUUUUAGAAUAAUCAUCACGAAUUCAAUACAUCAUGAACCAAGUUAUAAUUUAGUGCCCCUUUUCUGAUAUUUGUCUGUAACAGGUCUGGUCUUAUGUCUUAGGUUUGUCAUUCUUGAACUUUGAUAUUUUCAUUACCUUUCUGCUGUACAGUGGUGCAUCUGCAAAUAUGUUGUUUUUGAAAGAAAAUGUAUUUGAUCAAACAUUAUUAAAAUUUAAAUAUCAUAAAGUAUUAUUUUAAUUAAAGACAAUAGCUUUUAAACCACACAGCAUCAUACAUAAUGUGCCCUGUUUUCUCUCUUUUUUUUUGUAACAGUAAAACUUGUUGUUGGCAUCCUCUAAGAGGUGAAGUUUAUGGAGAAAAAAAAAUGAAUUUUUUUCAGCUGUAUGAAUAGUAGUGUGAAUACACAUUUGUCUGCCUUGCAUCAUGUCACUUCAUUUAGCUGUUAUCUCAUAGAGGAACUACAGAUUUGUGAAGUUAUGCUAUUGUCACAAACAAUGUUGACUAAAAGUUGCCAUGCACGUCAUGGUCAAACAAAAAAUAGACCCAUAAAUUGUUUUUAAGUUCCAUGGAAAUGAAUCAGCUAGUUCAAUGAAUUAAUUUAGAAUACAUUUGUAAUUGAAUUAAUACGCUGAAGCCUAUGAAGCACAAUAAAUUAUGAUUUAGUAUAAGUAAAAUACAAGG